rnacentral:lncRNA from 1 species
UUCUUUCCUUCCUUCUUUCCUUCUCUUUCUGAAACUUUCUAAAUAGCAUGUGCUACCUAACCUUAUUUGUAACCCACGCCCUUUAAACAAAUUUUGAGGAGAUGAAUCCUGGACAUACCAGGGUAGGAAAGGGAUUUGAGGGAUUUAGAAAAACAGAGGUGAGUGGACCCCACAAUUCACCCACAGACUUGAAAAAGGAGACAAUAGCUGGAGGGGGGAGGCUGGAAACUGAAGGAGCCUGUCUGUGGGAAAGGGAGCGUCCCUGAGAACCCCAAGGAAGGUGGCUGCUCGGUGGAGGGGCUAUUAGGUAAGCGGAUAGAAACUGCACAGCCUCCUUUGCAAUUCCAGAUGUCUUCAUGUGGAAAGUGUGGUGACAUCUUAGAUGGGAGAUGGGGAGGGUGGGGGCUCGCCUCCUCAUCGUCUCCAUCGCCUCAAAUGGGAGUGCUCAGAAGUGUUCCAGAACAAGUAGACAGCUCUCACUGAAGACAGGGAAGGCUCUGUUGGGAUCUCACAAAGGAUUGGUGUCAGGUGAUAAUGUUUAAAUUUUCCAGAUUCCUGAGAGCCAGCACUGGGCAGCUUAAGCCAUCCUCAGCAUCCAACUGGCCUCUUUACUGACACUCCUGCCUAGCAACCUCCACUGUCCCUUGGAUCUCUGGCUGAGCUUAAAGUGUUGGGUUAAAAGAAAAUAAGCAAUAAGAUAUAUAUUAACACCUCCCAUGGAAGGUAAACGGAUUGAUUCAGCUGUGACCACCUCCCGAAAGCCCUAAGUAACAUGUAAUUCAGUCAGUCCUGUUCAUUUUCAUUGCUUACUUGUAAAACUGAGAAAUUAAACUACAAUGAUGCA